CCUACGGGAGGCAGCAGUGGGGAAUAUUGCACAAUGGGCGCAAGCCUGAUGCAGCCAUGCCGCGUGUGUGAAGAAGGCCUUCGGGUUGUAAAGCACUUUCAGCGGGGAGGAAGGCGGUGAGGUUAAUAACCUCAUCGAUGGACGUUACCCGCAGAAGAAGCACCGGCUAACUCCGUGCCAGCAGCCGCGGUAAUACGGAGGGUGCAAGCGUUAAUCGGAAUUACUGGGCGUAAAGCGCACGCAGGCGGUCUGUCAAGUCGGAUGUGAAAUCCCCGGGCUCAACCUGGGAACUGCAUUCGAAACUGGCAGGCUAGAGUCUUGUAGAGGGGGGUAGAAUUCCAGGUGUAGCGGUGAAAUGCGUAGAGAUCUGGAGGAAUACCGGUGGCGAAGGCGGCCCCCUGGACAAAGACUGACGCUCAGGUGCGAAAGCGUGGGGAGCAAACAGGAUUAGAUACCCUAGUAGUC
rnacentral:rRNA from 1 species